CUCAAGUCAAAGUGCCCUGGAUUGCUGCAGCCUCCUAUGAGCUGGGUGGUUAAAUCCUGCAGUGGGGUUCCUGGGGACAAAGGUGGAGAAAUCUUUUCUGAAAGGGACAUGCCAUGGGUCUCUCAGGCAAAAGAGAGGACAAACAGGGCGGUCUGGAAGGAUUCUAACGAUGAAGCCUUCAGGAUCUUCUCCCGUGGAAAGACUGACCCACUGACCUGCUGCUCUGACAGGGUCUCUGUAUGUUGCCCAGGCUGACUUUGGAGUGCCAGGCUCCAGGGAAGCUCUCGCUGAUGCCUCUUCCAGGAGCACCACCACACCAGGCUUCAUUUGCAUGUUCAGUGAAAUGAAGUUUCCAGAAAGCAACUGCAAGUGUUGUUCCCUAGAGCGGGUGAGAGCAGCAGCUUUGGCGAGGGAUGGGUAGUCACGUGGCAGAGAAGGACAGAGUGCCUCUGGAUGCUGAUGACCACAGACUGCAAAGUUUGUGGUUUUCUUCUCAGCGCUGCCUCUUGGCUGAUAGUCUGGAUGCCCGUCUUCUCAGGCGUUAAGGCUCAUCUUUGGUGGUUGUCGGAAUCCCACUCUCUUCUCUUACCUACCGUGGUCCCCACAGGAGCAGCUGUACCCCUUCCACUCUCCGGAGAGAGUUGGCGGAGUUAUCUGCUCGAAAGUGAAGGCUCUCUCCACCCCAGGCGCACCUCUCCAUCCUCAGUUCCUCCCAGGGCUCCCGUGACCACAGCUCUUUCUUUAGCUAACUUCCUCUCCGCGGCAGCUUUUCUCUCCCUAGGAAUUUGGCUUGCGGUUUUGAGCGCCUGACAGGAAGCCAUCCGGAUGCGAUCACAAGGCACGAAGAGCUGCCCUCCCUCUUGGACCCCGGUGUGGCACACAAGAGCAAGCCUGAGCUUUCGGUCCCCCACUUUGACUGAACUCUUUCUAUCAGUCACGUUGCCUGUGAGAGAAGCCAAGAGUUUCUUGUUUCUUGGUGGCUUCAAGUCUAGAACUCCCUUCGAGGCUGUCUGCAUCUCCCGCGGUCCCUCCCAUGAUGCUGUUCCGCUCUCCUAAAGGGAUGUUCCGGCUCUGACAUAUUGAAAGCUGUCCCAGCUCUCAACUCCAGCUAAUGUUCUGAGACUAGCUAGUUAGAAAUUAUUGAACUAAAUUAUUUUGUGUGUGUGUGUUAACAUCCAUCUUGAAGUCUCACAUCACUAAAUCUCCACUGAGUUUAUCUUUCAAAAACUAUUUGUGGAAUAGAUUACUUUUUAAUCAGAAAACCUGUCUAAUGCCCGUGUGAAAAUGUGGUUAAUUUCUCUGGAACCUCUGGAUCAAAUGUUGCCUCUUAAUUUCUAAUUGCUGAUCUUCUGGGUGUGUUUUCUGGAGCAAGUCAGUAGCAAAGAAAGCAAGGGGAAGAGAAAUUAUUUCAUGGCUUUAUUUUCUGUACAGAAUUUAUAAAAACUUUAAGAAACUUUUACUAUAAGUUUUAUGUAUUCUCUGAAGAUAUACUACUACGUGACAAAAUUCAGAAUACAUGGUUAAAACUACAAUUAGUCAGACAGGUCAUAAAAAGAAAUCAGAAAACCUGUCGGAUGAGUAGUAAUCUUAUGUGAAAGAAAAUUUAAUUUUAAUACUGGGAAGAGGCCUCGCUGCAUGAACAUGAAGAGCUGAGGUCAGACUCCCAGUACUUGUAAGAAGCUGGGCAUUUGUGCAUGCCUUGGGAGCCAAGUCAGACAGAUCCCUGGAGUCUAACAGGCGGACAGUUUAGCCAAACAGUGAGCUCCAGGCUCACUGAGAGACCCUAUUUCAAAAAAUAAAAUAAAUAAGAUGGGGAGUGUGGGGGGCCAGCCCCCACAUUUAUUUACCCCAGGGACUCUUGAGGAAUGAGGGAUAAGAGACUUAGGCAGAAAUAAAGAGGGGAGAGAACCAGGUAGAAACACAGGAUACCCUCGGGUGAGUCUGGGUCCUUACCCACCAGCCCAGAACUUUAGUCCAAAGGGCUAUUUAUAACAAUGCCAAGGGGUGGAGCAAAAGAUCUCCCCCUUGCUACUUACAGUCAAGUGUAGACCAUCUCAGACACCUGGUACCCAGGCCCGAGGUCCAAUCAACCUCUUAUGCAGUCCUGCUGGGUACAGCCACUAGGAAACCCAGUGGGCUCCAACAGGGGAGUGGUUGGUUUUUGUUUUUGUUGUUUUGUUUUAAUGUGGCACAAACCUAGACAUAUCUGGAAAGAGGGAAUCUUAACUGAGAAAAUGCCUCCAUAUGACUGCCCUGUAGGAAAGUCUGUGGGGUAUUUCCUUAGUCAGUGGUUGGUGUGUGAGGGCCCAGCCCAUUCUGGAUGGUGCCACUCCUGGGCAGGUAGUUGUGGGCUGUAUAAGAAAGCAAAUGGAGCAAAACAUGAGGUGUGAGCCAGUAAACUUCCUGCUUCUGGGCUCCCAACUUGAGUUCCUGCCCUGACUUUGCUAUAUGAUGUGUAAGCUGUAAGAUGAUAAACUCUUCACAAAGUUGCCUUUGGUCAUCCUGUUUAUCACAGUAGACACCCUAAGAAAGACCAGAGGCAAUAGAGGAACAUACCCAAAGUAGAUCCCUGGACAGGCAAACAGACAGAUAGACACACAUCCACAUGCACAUACACGCGCACACACACACACACUCAGAAACAUAUCCAAAGUCGAUCCCUGGACAGACAGACAGACAGAUACACACACACACACACACACACACACACACACACACACACACACACA